rnacentral:tRNA from 1 species
CUCACUGUAGUUUAUUACAAAACGUCGACUUGCAAAAUCGAAAAAGGAUAGGCAUCUCAGUGUGU